AUUGAACGCUGGCGGCAUGCCUUACACAUGCAAGUCGAACGGCAGCACGGGAGCAAUCCUGGUGGCGAGUGGCGAACGGGUGAGUAAAGUAUCGGAACGUGCCCAGUCGUGGGGGAUAACGUAGCGAAAGUUACGCUAAUACCGCAUACGAUCUAUGGAUGAAAGCGGGGGAUCGCAAGACCUCGAGCGAUUGGAGCGGCCGAUAUCAGAUUAGGUAGUUGGUGGGGUAAAGGCUCACCAAGCCGACGAUCUGUAGCUGGUCUGAGAGGACGACCAGCCACACUGGGACUGAGACACGGCCCAGACUCCUACGGGAGGCAGCAGUGGGGAAUUUUAGACAAUGGGCGCAAGCCUGAUCCAGCCAUGCCGCGUGCAGGAUGGAGGCCUUCGGGUUGUAAACUGCUUUUGUACGGAACGAAAAGGUUUGACUUAAUACGUUGGACUCAUGACGGUACCGUAAGAAUAAGCACCGGCUAACUACGUGCCAGCCGCCGCAGUAA
rnacentral:rRNA from 1 species